rnacentral:ncRNA from 2 species
AUAAAUCUUCAGGGCAGGGUGUGAUUCCCUACCGGCGGUAAAGCCCGCGAGCCUAAAUGGUAUGAUUCGGUGAGAUUCCGAAGCCGACAGUAUAGUCUGGAUGAAAGAAGAUAAAU